rnacentral:lncRNA from 1 species
ACGAAGAUUAAGAAAGCUGAAAAAAGUGGUAUAAAGGUGGUGUAAAAGACUAAAAGGGUAGUGUUAAUGUGUUAUGAUUACUUUUACUAAUUUUUUCAUUAGCUUAAAGGCAUUGGACUUUGACAAUUUUAUUUCUUUUAUUUCUCUAUUUUUUUUUGUUUAUUCCUUUUUUGAACUAAUUUUUUUUUAAUUAUGCAAAUCACAUUUAGUAAGUCCAAAUAAAUCGAGAAUUUUCUGCCCAAAUUAAUAAACUGAAAAGCAUGCAUAUUAAUGCCACUAUUAAUAAAUGAAUAUGAAUCGCAUAAUUAUUUGUGCCCAAUUAAUAAACUGAAAAGCAUGCAUAUUAAUGGUACUAUGAAUAAAUGAAUGAGUCGCAUAUGCACAAAUUGAUAAACUGAAA